rnacentral:rRNA from 1 species
GACGAACGCUGGCGGCGUGCCUAAUACAUGCAAGUCGAGCGAGUCUGCCUUGAAGAUCGGAGUGCUUGCACUCUGUGAAACAAGAUACAGGCUAGCGGCGGACGGGUGAGUAACACGUGGGUAACCUGCCCAAGAGAUCGGGAUAACACCUGGAAACAGAUGCUAAUACCGGAUAACAACAGAUGAUGCCUAUCAACUGUUUAAAAGAUGGUUCUGCUAUCACUCUUGGAUGGACCUGCGGUGCAUUAGCUAGUUGGUAGGGUAACGGCCUACCAAGGCGAUGAUGCAUAGCCGAGUUGAGAGACUGAUCGGCCACAUUGGGACUGAGACACGGCCCAAACUCCUACGGGAGGCAGCAGUAGGGAAUCUUCCACAAUGGACGCAAGUCUGAUGGAGCAACGCCGCGUGAGUGAAGAAGGGUUUCGGCUCGUAAAGCUCUGUUGUUGGUGAUGAAGGACAGGGGUAGUAACUGACCUUUGUUUGACGGUAAUCAAUUAGAAAGUCACGGCUAACUAAGUG